rnacentral:rRNA from 1 species
GUGUCAGCAGCCGCGGUAAUACGUAGGGGGCAAGCGUUGUCCGGAUUUACUGGGCGUAAAGCGCCUGUAGGCGGCCUGUCAAGUCCGGCCUGAAAGCCCCCGGCUCAACCGGGGAGGGUGGCUGGAAACUGGCAGGCUUGAGGGCGAGAGAGGAGGGUGGAAUUCCUGGUGUAGCGGUGAAAUGCGUAGAGAUCAGGAGGAACACCCGUGGCGAAGGCGGCCCUCUGGCUCGACCCUGACGCUGAGAGGCGAAAGCGUGGGGAGCGAACGGGAUUAGAUACCCCUGUAGUCC